AUGGCCACCAGACCGAGGCUUUCUGGAAUGCAUUCAUUCUCUGCAGUUGAAAGGGAUGAUCCUGGAUCUGAAAGAAAGAGCCACAGUGACUCCAAGAGUGGAGCCAGGGCAUGCUGGACACUGCACAGCUAUGGCCAUGUGUGUCACCACCGAGGGAGAUGUGAGAGAAACGCAGAGGGAUUGCUUGUGACUGUGCCUUCUCGAUGUACGAUGGACCAUUCUGCUCAAAUACCUACAUCAUCCUGUGCAUUUCACAAAAUCCUAAUGAAAACUACACCAAGCUCAAAGUAGAGAUAAACAUAUCAGUGUUGACAGCCGUGAAACCACACUAUGCAAAGGCUACGAGCUCUGAGGAAUUCCUGUUAGCUACAGCACAUGAAGGAUCAAUGAAGGAAGAAAAUGAAGGCUCUUGGGAGAUAGAAUUAUGCCAGGACAAAGCUGAAGAAGAGCAACACGUGUCGGAAAUACCCUAAAAUUUGAAAGGUGCCAGGCUUGGAGGUGGGGCAGGCACCACCAGAAGAGAAAACUUCCCUUUGAGACUUUCUUUGCUUGUGACAAGAACAGCACUUGAUGCCCUUAGAAUAGUUCCUGGAACAUCUGAAUAAAUAUCUGUGGAAUGGUUGAAUCAGAGUUGGGGACUGGUGUUCAGCUGCGAGAGCUCUCAAUGGUAUGACCACAACUGAGGCUCCAACUGGCAGGGAGCUGCUGACUCCUGACGCUGCAGGAGCUGGUCUCUGGAUUAGGAGGUCCUGUUCUACUUCCAGUUGCAAAUAUUAUAUACAUUUGUGUGUCUGAGUGCAUAUAUAACCGCCUAACAAGUUCCCCUUGCCCACUGCCUAGACAGAGCUGGUUUAUCAAGACAGGGGAAUUGCAAUAGAGAAAGAGUAAUUCUUGCAGAGCCAGCUGGGAGGGAGACUGGAGUUUUAUUAUUGCUCAAAUCAGUCUCCGCGAGCGUUUGGGGAUCAGAGUUUUGAAAUAUAAUAUGGCGGGGGCUCAGGAAGUGGGGAGUGCCCAUUGGUCAGGUUGGAGAUGGAAUCACAGGGGGAUCAAAGUGAGGUUUUCUUGCUGCCUUCUGUUCCUGGGUGGGAUCGCAGAACUGGCUGAGCCACAUUACCGGCUUGGGUGGUUCUGAUGUUAGCAGCGGCCCAU
rnacentral:lncRNA from 1 species